UAGGGAAUAUUGGACAAUGGGGGCAACCCUGAUCCAGCCAUGCCGCGUGAGUGAAGAAGGCCCUCGGGUCGUAAAGCUCUUUUGUCCGGAAAGAAAAGCUUCGGGUUAAUACCCCGGGGUUCUGACGGUACCGGAAGAAUAAGCACCGGCUAACUUCGUGCCAGCAGCCGCGGUAAUACGAAGGGUGCAAGCGUUACUCGGAAUUACUGGGCGUAAAGCGUGCGUAGGUGGUUGUUUAAGUCUGAUGUGAAAGCCCUGGGCUCAACCUGGGAAUGGCAUUGGAAACUGGGCAGCUAGAGUGCGGUAGAGGGUAGUGGAAUUCCCGGUGUAGCAGUGAAAUGCGUAGAGAUCGGGAGGAACAUCUGUGGCGAAGGCGACUGCCUGGACCAGCACUGACACUGAGGCACGAAAGCGUGGGGAGCAAACA
rnacentral:rRNA from 1 species